AUUGAACGCUGGCGGCAUGCCUUACACAUGCAAGUCGAACGGCAGCACGGGAGCAAUCCUGGUGGCGAGUGGCGAACGGGUGAGUAAAGUAUCGGAACGUGCCCAGUCGGGGGGGAUAACGGAGCGAAAGUUACGCUAAUACCGCAUACGACCUCUGGAUGAAAGGGGGGGAUCGAGAGACCUCGCGCGAUUGGGGCGGCCCAUAUCAGCUUAGGUAGUUGGGGGGGUAAAGGCUCACCAAGCCGACGAUCUGUAGCUGGUCUGAGCGGACGACCAGCCACACUGGGACUGAGACACGGCCCAGACUCCUACGGGAGGCAGCAGUGGGGAAUUUUGGACAAUGGGCGAAAGCCUGAUCCAGCCAUGCCGCGUGCAGGAUGAAGGCCUUCGGGUUGUAAACUGCUUUUGUACGGAACGAAAAGGUUUGGCCUAAUAAGCUGAGCUCAUGACGGUACCGUAAGAAUAAGCACCGGCUAACUACGUGCCAGCAGCCGCAGUAA
rnacentral:rRNA from 1 species